GGGGGGGGGGGGCGGGGGGGCGAGGGGAGGGAAGGCGGGCGGAGGGGGGGGGGGGGGGCCGGGGUGCGGGGGGGGGCGGGGGGGUGAGGCCUAGGAGGCUGCCGGGGAGGGGGGGAUGGGGUCCGGAAGGGGGCGCGGAUACCGCAGACGACCUGAGGGGGAACGGGGGGGAUCGUCGGACCUCACGCGUUCAGAUGAGCCUAGGUCGGAUUAGCUAGUUGGUGGGGUAAGGGCCUACCAAGGCGACGAUCCGUAACUGGUCUGAGAGGAUGAUCAGCCACACUGGAACUGAGACACGGUCCAGACUCCUACGGGAGGCAGCAGUGGGGAAUCUUGGGCAAUGGGCGAAAGCCUGAUCCAGCCAUGCCGCGUGUGUGAAGAAGGUCUUCGGAUUGUAAAGCACUGUAAGUUGGGAAGAAGGGCAGUGUGUCAAUACCUGGCUGUCUUGACGGUACCAACAGAGUAAGCACCGGCUAACUACGUG
rnacentral:rRNA from 1 species